GACGAACGCUGGCGGCGUGCUUAACACAUGCAAGUCGAACGGAAAGGCCCCCUUUUGGGGUACUCGAGUGGCGAACGGGUGAGUAACACGAGAGUAACAUACCCUUGACUAUGGUAUAACUUCAGGAAACAGGUGCUAAUACUGCAUAGUAGCUCCUGCUGCAUGGUGGGGGUGGGUAGGUUUCGGCGGUUGGGGAUGGACUCGCGGCUUAUCAGCUUGUUGGUGGGGUAGUGGCUCACCAAGGCUUUGACGGGUAGCCGGCCUGAGAGGGUGACCGGCCACAUUGGGACUGAGAUACGGCCCAGACUCCUACGGGAGGCAGCAGUGGGGAAUAUUGCACAAUGGGCGGAAGCCUGAUGCAGCAACGCCGCGUGCGGGAUGACGGCCUUCGGGUUGUAAACCGCUUUCGCCUGUGACGAAGCGUGAGUGACGGUAAUGGGUAAAGAAGCACCGGCUAACUACGUG
rnacentral:rRNA from 1 species